rnacentral:rRNA from 1 species
AUUGAACGCUGGCGGCAGGCCUAACACAUGCAAGUCGAGCGAGCGGCGGACGGGGGAGUAAUGUCUGGGAAAAUGCCUGAUGGAGGGGGAUAACACCUGGAAACGGAAGAUAAUACCCCAUAACAUCAGAUGUGCCCAGAUGGGAUUAGCUGGUAGGUGGGGAAACGGCUCACCUAGGCGACGAUCCCUCGCUGGUCUGAGAGGAUGACCAGCCACACUGGAACUGAGACACGGUCCUGACUCCUACGGGAGGCAGCAGUGGGGAAUAUUGCACAAUGGGCGCAAGCCUGAUGCAGCCAUUCCGCGUGUGUGAAGAAGGCCGUCGGGUUGUAAAGCACUUUCAGCGGGGAGGCGUUACCCGCAGAAGAAGCACCGGCUAACCCCGUGCCAGCAGCCGCGGUGAUAC